AGUGAACGCUGGCGGUAGGCCUAACACAUGCCAGUCGAACGGCAGCACAGUAAGAGCUUGCUCUUACGGGUGGCGAGUGGCGGACGGGUGAGGAAUACAUCGGAAUCUACUUUUUCGUGGGGGAUCACGUAGGGAAACUUACGCUAAUACCGCAUACGACCUACGGGUGAAAGCAGGGGAUCUUCGCACCUUGCGCGAUUGAAUGAGCCGAUGUCGGAUUAGCUAGUUGGCGGGGUAAAGGCCCACCAAGGCGACGAUCCGUAGCUGGUCUGAGAGGAUGAUCAGCCACACGGGAACUUAGACACGGUCCAGACUCCUGCGGUACGCAGCAGUGGGGAAUAUUAGACAAUGGGCGCAAGCCUGAUCCAGCCAUACCGCGUGGGUGAAGAAGGCCUUCGGGUUGUAAAGCCCUUUUGUUGGGAAAGAAAAGCAGCAGGUUAAUACCCCGCUGUUCUGACGGUACCCAAAGAAUAAGCACCGGCUAACUUCGUG
rnacentral:rRNA from 1 species